AUGUGCUUUUGCGUGAAGUUGGUUUGGCGUUUUGGCAGAGGAGGGAGUUGCUUCUUCUGGGAACGGGAGAGAGCGAAAAUGGAACGAGAGAAAUUCGUUGUGGAGCGGAAGCGACUUGAGUUGGAAGAUCGUAGGCUGAGUUUGGGUGGAUCUGAGACAGGGGUGAGUUUUUCUCCAAGGGUCUCUGGUCUAUUUGAUGUUGCGGGUAGCUUGCGGUUGGUUCCUCAGUUCUGUGAGCGUGACCCAGACAUAUUUUUUUCACUCUUCGAGCGUGUGGCCGAGAGUAGGGGGUGGUCCGACUCCGAUCGCACUUUACUUUUGAAGUGUGUGUUGACGGGUAAGGCACAGGAAGCGUACUCUGCUCCAACUAUAGUUGAGAGUAGAGAAUAUGCGACAGUUAAAGCUGCAGUGUUGCGCUCAUAUGAGCUUGUACCUGAGGCAUAUAGGCAGAGGUUCCGGACAUGGGAGAAGUCGAGUAGGCAGACACAUGUUGAGUUUGCGAGGGAGCAGUGUACUCAUUUCAGUCGCUGGUGUUCUGCUGUGAAGGUAGAUACUUAUGAUGCUCUAUGUGACCUGAUUGUUCUGGAACAAUUUAAAAACUCUUUUCCUAGUCAUAUUGCUGUUCAUAUCAGUGAGCAUAAAGUGAAGACUGCCGCAGAAGCUGCCACCCUAACAGAUGAGUAUGUGCUCACACACAGGAUUGAACGCGAGUAUAGCGUUGGGGAUAACCGGAGCGAUGCCAGGUUGCUCAGUACUGCAAGUAAGUGGGAGGAAACGCAUUAUCAUGGCCUGAGUAAACCGGGGCGUUCUGUGCAGGGUCGAGUGCCAUUUGACUUGGGGAAUGUGUGCAACUUCUGCAAAGGACAGGGGCAUUGGAAGGCUGACUGUCCCAAAGCUGGACGUGGGAAGGAAGGAGUACAGGUUAAGGUGGCUGCGUGUGCUACCUCUGGGCCAUAUGUCGGGCUUAUUUCUUGUCAGCAGGUGGAGGCUGAAGUGAAGGAGUCGUUCUCUGCUUUUCUGUCUGAUGGGUGUGUGUCUUUGGUGGGCGGCGACAGUUCUGUACCUGUAAAAAUCCUAAGGGAUACUGCUGCUUUUAAUUCAUAUAUUGUGAGUUCGGUGUUGCCGUUUUCUCAUCAAUCUGAUACAGGGGAUUAUGUCCUCAUGAGAGGCAUGAGUUUGACAGUGUCACCUGUUCGAUUACACAAAUUUGUGUUAAACUGUGGUUUGGUCCAGGGUGAGGUUGCUAUGGGAGUGCGCCCCGCAUUGCCUAUUGAUGGCGUAGAUAUCAUUCUAGGGAAUGAUCUGGCAGGCAGUCGUGUGUGGGCUAAGAGUUCUCCACCGCCAAUUUUGACUUCUUCCCCCUUGGUUACAGGAGAGCUGGAUGAAGGUGCUCGAGUGUUUCCUUAG
rnacentral:lncRNA from 1 species